AUGGUAUUGCGCGCGUGACCGUACACUGUCUCGACUGUCAAGCUUUCAAAUAGAUAUACGAAUGUCAUAGAUGUGUGCUAGAAUUGCUCACUUGCUAUAUACCAGGCAGAAGUAAUCGCCUGGUCAUGUGGAAAACUGACGUGACCGAUCAUGUAAUGACAGAAGGAACACGUCUCCGGGAACAACGUACUUUCUAAAUGUAUGCGCGUCGCGUACGCGCAUGCGCUGAGAAAGUAAAAUGAGAUACUUUCUCUACGUGGUCGCAAUUCUGAAGGAUGGCCUCAUGAAAUAAAAGAAGGAAACAUGUCGUAACCAACAGCUAGAGAAACCGUUCAAAACUCUACAUGCAUGUAUGUAUGCUUAUUAAUGGAAAAUUAAAGCACAACACAUUUGGAAUGGUGUUUCUCCGUCAUCACAAAUGGAUCGUACCUAAAAAUAAACUCUUAAUGGAACAACCAUUAUAACAUCCUGGUAUCUUCUGAUAUUAAAAGAUGAACAUUUUCACAAUCUUAAAAAGUAUCAUGUUAAUUUUAAAUUGUAAAUCAAUGUGAAAAGAAAGAGACACGAAUGAAAUAAAAAAUAGAGGGAGGCAAAAUGUGAUCAAAUUGCGGUAAAAUAAUUGACUUUAUGCUUCAACUCAUAACAUGCAACCAUGUAGCAAAUUAUUAUUACAUGGUGUAACAUACGUUCCUGAGCAACAGUAAGAAAGUAAUUUACGUUGCGCGUGAACGUUGGCCACGUGCCAACUCAAUUACAGACCCUCAAAAGAAAAACUUCAACCAUCCCACUUCAACACUUCUUCUAUUCAAUUUACAUUAAUAAGGAUUUUCGAAAUAUUUUCACUAGAAAAGCGAAGAAACGUAUUUCGCAUAGUGAAAGCUUUAUUAAGUUAAUGGAUGGCGCUAAUAAAAAAAAAAAAAAUCGAUAUCGAUCAAUCUAAAAUCAUCGAAUCUCCUCUAUGGAAAGUUUAACGUUAAUAAUUGCGAAAGCUAAGAAGAUAAGUAAGAAUGAAAUAACAUGAAGAAACGUGACGAUGCAUCAGGAAGAUGGGAAAUCAUUAACCUUGCUUAUUCGAGCCAACGGGUCGUGGAAUUUGUAUGCGUCAUAGGAUAUGCGGGCAUCUUAUGUGACGCUUAAAGAGACGCGAGAAUUAUAAUGCAUUGCUACACGUUCAUCUUGCAAACGCAGUGACAAUGCAUUCCUUUAAAACUACCGAAGAUAAUGGACUACUAUAUUGGAUCAUACAUCUACAAUUAAAUUUAAGGAUAUUUCAAAAUAAUAAAUUACGAAAUUUCAGUGUAUCAUAAAAAAGCUUUCCUGCUACAUUUGUAUCACAUUAUAUAUAAUUAUACAAAAUGAUUCAAUUAUAUACAUAUAUUACAUUAAAAUUUAAUCUCUAUAUAUACACUA